rnacentral:rRNA from 1 species
AACGAACGCUGGCGGCAUGCCUAACACAUGCAAGUCGAACGAGAUCUUCGGGUCUAGUGGCGCACGGGUGCGUAACGCGUGGGAAUCUGCCCUUUGGUUCGGAAUAACAGUUGGAAACGACUGCUAAUACCGGAUGAUGACGAAAGUCCAAAGAUUUAUCGCCAGAGGAUGAGCCCGCGUAGGAUUAGCUAGUAGGUGUGGUAAAGGCGCACCAAGGCGACGAUCCUUAGCUGGUCUGAGAGGAUGAUCAGCCACACUGGGACUGAGACACGGCCCAGACUCCUACGGGAGGCAGCAGUGGGGAAUAUUGGACAAUGGGCGAAAGCCUGAUCCAGCAAUGCCGCGUGAGUGAUGAAGGCCUUAGGGUUGUAUAGCUCUUUUACCCGGGAUGAUAAUGACAGUACCGGGAGAAUAAGCUCCGGCUAACUCCGUGCCAGCAGCCGCCGUAA